UACGAAGGGGACUAGCGUUGUUCGGAUUUACUGGGCGUAAAGCGCGCGUAGGCGGAUCGCUAAGUCAGGGGUGAAAUCCCAGGGCUCAACCCUGGAACUGCCUUUGAUACUGACGAUCUGGAGAUCGGGAGAGGUUGGUGGAAUUCCGAGUGUAGAGGUGAAAUUCGUAGAUAUUCGGAGGAACACCAGUGGCGAAGGCGGCUCACUGGCUCGGUACUGACGCUGAGGUGCGAAAGCGUGGGGAGCAAACAGG
rnacentral:rRNA from 1 species